CAAUAGCGUAUAUUAAAGUUGUUGCAGUUAAAAAGCUCGUAGUUGGAUUUCUGGCAGGAGCGACCGGUCCGCCGCAAGGUGUGCACUAGGUUGUCUCCAGUCAUCUUUGUGGGAACUGCUCUGGCAUUAGGUUGUCGGGGUUAGGGAACACAUCGUUUACUGUGAAAAAAUUAGAGUGUUCAAAGCGGGCUUACGCUUGAAUAUUUCAGCAUGGAAUAACACUAUAGGACUCCUGUCCUAUUUCGUUGGUCUCGGGACGGGAGUAAUGAUUAAGAGGAACAGUUGGGGGCAUUCGUAUUUCAUUGUCAGAGGUGAAAUUCUUGGAUUUAUGAAAGACGAACUUCUGCGAAAGCAUUUGCCAAGGAUGUUUUCAUUAAUCAAGAACGAAAGUUGGGGGCUCGAAGAUGAUCAGAUACCG
rnacentral:rRNA from 1 species